CUAAGCUAUUGUGUGUUGUCUCUUCGUGUACAGGAGCCAGAGUAAAUGCCAAAGACAACAAGUGGCUCACUCCUCUGCACCGGGCCUUGGCUUCCUGCAGUGAGGAGGCUGUCCAGGUGUUAUUGAAACACUCUGCUGAUGUGAACGCCAGGGACAAGAACUGGCAAACGCCGCUCCACAUCGCUGCGGCCAAUAAGGCAGUCCGCUGUGCCGAGGCCCUGGUCCCUCUCCUCAGCAACGUGAACGUGUCAGACCGGGCCGGGCGCACGGCGCUGCACCAUGCAGCCUUCAGUGGACACCAGGAGGUUAGCAAUUAGCAUGGACAUGAUUACACACUGUAGUCUACACUUUAUACCUGCCCU